rnacentral:rRNA from 1 species
CAGCAGCCGCGGGAAUACGAAGGGGGCUAGCGUUGCUCGGAAUCACUGGGCGUAAAGGGUGCGUAGGCGGACAUUUAAGUCAGGGGUGAAAGCCUGAGGCUCAACCUCAGAAUUGCCUUUGAUACUGGGUGUCUCGAGACCGGUAGAGGUGAGUGGAACUGCGAGUGUAGAGGUGAAAUGCGUAGAUAUCGGAAGGAACACCAGUGGCGAAGGCGGCUACCUGGACUGAGACUGACACUGAGGCGCGAGAGCGUGGGGAGCAAACAGGAUUAGAUACCCCCGUAGUCCCUGUCUCUUAUAC